UAGGGAAUCUUACACAAUGGACGAAAGUCUGAUGGAGCAACGCCGCGUGAGUGAAGAAGGGUUUCGGCUCGUAAAACUCUGUUGUUAAAGAAGAACAUAUCUGAGAGUAACUGUUCAGGUAUUGACGGUAUUUAACCAGAAAGCCACGGCUAACUACGUGCCAA
rnacentral:rRNA from 1 species